AACCAUGAGAAAGUAAAAGUCGGACACAAUUUGGUGACACUGGACCAAGAGAGCGGUAUGGUAGAACCGAAGCAGAAAAGAAACCACAUGACACUAGGAGGCUUCAAAGCUUGCAAGGCUAACCAACAUGGUGAGAAUACAAAGCCAAACACUAAACAUCAGCAUGAGAGUUCAGCCAGGUAUGACUCUACCACUCUGAUUUUGCGUAUGUUCUUGUGACACUUCACAGCAUGACAACACACACUGAGGCAAGUUGUUUGUUUAGCCCUGAGCCUUUCUU
rnacentral:lncRNA from 1 species